UACCUGGUUGAUCCUGACACACGCGAGACAGAUUGUCUAAGUACAUGCCGAAAUAAGGCGAAACCGCGAAUGGCUCAUUAAAUCAGUUAUGGUUCCUUAGAUCGUUUCUUCCUACUUGGAUAACUGUGGCAAUUCUAGAGCUAAUACAUGCAGUGAGCCUGAAGCCCUUUGGGCGACGGGUGCUUUUAUUAGACCAAGAUCGAUCGGGUUUCGGCCCGUAUUGUGUGGUGACUCUGGAUAACUUUGUGCUGAUCGCAUGGCCACGAGCCGGCGACGUUUCUUUCAAGUGUCUGCCUUAUCAACUUUCGAUGGUAGGUUACUUGCUUACCAUGGUUGUUACGGGUAACGGAGAAUCAGGGUUCGAUUCCGGAGAGGGAGCCUGAGAAACGGCUACCACAUCCAAGGAAGGCAGCAGGCGCGCAAAUUACCCACUCCCGGCACGGGGAGGUAGUGACGAAAAAUAACAAUACGGGACUCUUUUGAGGCCCCGUAAUUGAAAUGAGUACACUCUAAAUCCUUUAACGAGGAUCAAUUGGAGGGCAAGUCUGGUGCCAGCAGCCGCGGUAAUUCCAGCUCCAAUAGCGUAUACUAAAGCUGCUGCGGUUAAAAAGCUCGUAGUUGGAUCUCAGUUCCAGACGAGUAGUGCAUCUACCCGAUGCGACGGCUCGGACUGAACAUCAUGCCGGUCCUUUCUUGGUGCACUUCAUUGUGUGCCUCGAGAAGGCCGGUGCUUUUACUUUGAAAAAAUUAGAGUGCUCAACGCAGGCGAGUCGCCUGAAUAAACUUGCAUGGAAUAAUAGAACAAGACCUCGUUUCUGUUCUGUUGGUUUUUGGAAUACGAGGUAAUGAUUAAGAGGGACAGACGGGGGCAUUCGUAUUGCGGCGCUAGAGGUGAAAUUCUUGGACCGUCGCAAGACGAACUACUGCGAAAGCAUUUGCCAAGAAUGUUUUCUUUGAUCAAGAACGAAAGUCAGAGGUUCGAAGGCGAUCAGAUACCGCCCUAGUUCUGACCAUAAACGAUGCCAACCAGCGAUCCGCCUGAGUUACUCAAAUGACUCGGCGGGCAGCUUCCGGGAAACCAAAGUGUUUGGGUUCCGGGGGAAGUAUGGUUGCAAAGCUGAAACUUAAAGGAAUUGACGGAAGGGCACCACCAGGAGUGGAGCCUGCGGCUUAAUUUGACUCAACACGGGAAAACUUACCCGGCCCGGACACUGGGAGGAUUGACAGAUUGAGAGCUCUUUCUUGAUUCGGUGGAUGGUGGUGCAUGGCCGUUCUUAGUUGGUGGAGCGAUUUGUCUGGUUAAUUCCGAUAACGAACGAGACUCUAGCCUAUUAAAUAGGUGCGGGGUUCCCAGCACCUUACAACCUUCUUAGAGGGACAAGCGGCUCCUAGCCGCACGAAACAGAGCAAUAACAGGUCUGUGAUGCCCUUAGAUGUCCGGGGCCGCACGCGCGCUACACUGAAGGAAGCAGCGUGUCUUUAUCCCUGUCUGAAAGGACUGGGUAACCCGUGGAACUUCUUUCGUGAUUGGGAUAGGGGCUUGCAAUUGUUCCCCUUGAACGAGGAAUUCCCAGUAAGCGCGAGUCAUAAGCUCGCGUUGAUUACGUCCCUGCCCUUUGUACACACCGCCCGUCGCUACUACCGAUUGAAUGAUUUAGUGAGGUCUUCGGACCGAUGUCCGGCGCGGCCUUUCGGUUGCGCCGGUCUGUUGGAAAGAUGACCAAACUUGAUCAUUUAGAGGAAGUAAAAGUCGUAACAAGGUUUCCGUAGGUGAACCUGCGGAAGGAUCAUUA
rnacentral:rRNA from 1 species